GCCCGGCCGCAGCGCUCCCCCUCUGAUCCCCGGCGGCCGUCUGAGUCCCUGCCUGCACCGUAGGCAGACCAUCUUCACCAAGGUGAGACUGGUGCGGCAUCGCCAUCACCACCGGAACCUCGGACUGGCUCAACGCCAACGUCUCCGGGUUCACCACAGUCUGCUGGGCCGCCAGCCCCUCGGCAUACAUGGCCUCCAAAAAAUUUUCUAUCUCCGCCCGAUCCAUCGCCUUCUCAAAUGCGUCGCGACUUGAUUUGUUGCCCGGCGGAG
rnacentral:lncRNA from 1 species